rnacentral:rRNA from 1 species
ACGUAUGGAAGGGAUAAGUGCUGAAAGCAUCUAAGCAUGAAGCCCCCCCUCAAGAUGAGAUUUCCCUUGGAGUUAAUCCAGUAAGACCCCUUAGAGAUGAUGAGGUUGAUAGGUCUCGGGUGGAAGCACGGUGACGUGUGGAGCUGAGAGAUACUAAUCGGUCGAGGACUUAUCCUAAAA